rnacentral:rRNA from 1 species
AGUGGGGAAUCUUAGACAAUGGGCGCAAGCCUGAUCUAGCCAUGCCGCGUGAGUGAUGAAGGCCUUAGGGUCGUAAAGCUCUUUCGCCAGGGAUGAUAAUGACAGUACCUGGUAAAGAAACCCCGGCUAACUCCGUGCCAGCAGCCGCGGUAAUACGGAGGGGGUUAGCGUUGUUCGGAAUUACUGGGCGUAAAGCGUACGUAGGCGGAUCAGAAAGUUAGGGGUGAAAUCCCGAGGCUCAACCUCGGAACUGCCUCUAAAACUCCUGGUCUUGAGUUCGAGAGAGGUGAGUGGAAUUCCAAGUGUAGAGGUGAAAUUCGUAGAUAUUUGGAGGAACACCAGUGGCGAAGGCGGCUCACUGGCUCGAUACUGACGCUGAGGUACGAAAGUGUGGGGAGCAAACAGGAUUAGAUACCCUGGUAGUCCACACCGUAAACGAUGAAUGCCAGUCGUCGGGUAGCAUGCUAUUCGGUGACACACCUAACGGAUAAGCAUCC